UCGGAAUUAUGAUAUAUGGAACAGAGUAGAUGAGCUUUCGUUUGAUAUGCGACAACACCAUGUUCUUGAAAGUUUGAUUUUUGCACUUAAUAACCCUAUCCAACAAAUUUUUGGAGGUCGGGAAUUUGAUACUUCAAAUGUACACAUCAUGACCUUUCAUUUGAUAUACAACAACCCUACCUUAAACGAACAUUUAUUUUUUUGCACUCAAUGACCCCAUCCAAC
rnacentral:lncRNA from 1 species